GUUGACCUCGGAUCAGGUAGGGAUACCCGCUGAACUUAAGCAUAUCAAUAAGCGGAGAGAA
rnacentral:rRNA from 1 species